UACGGAGGGUGCAAGCGUUGUCCGGAAUCACUGGGCGUAAAGGGCGCGUAGGCGGCUCAUGAAGGCUGUGGUGAAAGUCCGGGGCUCAACCUCGGAUCGGCCGUGGCGACUCGUGGGCUGGAGCACUGUAGAGGCUAAUGGAAUUCCGGGUGUAGCGGUGGAAUGCGUAGAGAUCCGGAAGAACACCGGUGGCGAAGGCGGUUAGCUGGGCAGUUGCUGACACUGAGGCGCGACAGCGUGGGGAGCAAACAGG
rnacentral:rRNA from 1 species